UCUCCCGCCCUCCGCUCGCAGCCGCAGAGGGCAGCGACGCCGGGCUGCGGGCAGCGGCCUCCGGGCGCCGCCGCCUCCCCCCGCUCGCGUCCUGCCCGCCCCGCGGGGGCGGAGGCGACCCGCUGUCCUCCCUCGGCGCCCGUCCGCCGCGCUGCGCGGCCGGGCCGGCUCCCUCGCUUUCGCUUUCGCUCUCGCUCUCGCUCGCUGCCGCUGCCGCUGCCGCUGCCGCUGCCGCUGCCGCCGGGGCCCGGCCGCCGGGGCCGCGCGCAGGGGCCGCGCCGGCGCCAUGGGGCGGCGGCGGCGGGCCGAGCCGGCGCCGGGAGCGCCGCGCCGCCGGGGCCCUGCGCGGGGGGCCCUGCGCCUGGUUUUUGCAGUUUUCCUGGUAACACAACCGGAUCGUGUGGAUGCUCUGGACUGUGGGCUAGGAGAAUAUCCCAUAGGUGCUGAGUGCUGCCCAAUGUGUGCUGCUGGACUUCGGGUUUUCAAGCAUUGUACUGCAAAUUCCAGCACAACAUGCAUACCUUGUGUUGAGGAUACAUACACAGAUCAUCCCAAUGGUCUAGAACACUGCAGGAAAUGUAAACUGUGUGAUCAAGGAGCCAAUCUGGUGCCAGAAGUGGUAUGUACCUCUACGAAGAAUACAGUAUGUGGCUGUCCCCCGGGAUAUUUCUGCAGUUAUUUGGGGACUGAAGACUGUGAAUUUUGCCAGCGCUACACUGUCUGCUUUCCUGGCACUAUGGUAAAAGACAGGGGCACAAAGACCACUGACAACGUAUGUGAGACUUGUCCGCCUGGAACCUUCUCAGCAGCCAACAUGUCGUAUAGCUGUACACCGUGGCCCGGGCUUAAGGAGAAUGGCCUGGUACAAGAAAAGGAAGGGAUGCCUUCUUCAGGUGCAGUUUGUUCAAAUUGCCUCCCUGUUAUUGCUAUUGUUGGUGCUGUUGCUGGAGUCGUGCUAGUUGCUGUUGCAAGUGGUCUUAUAUAUAUCUGGCAAAGGAGGAAGAGGAAAAAUUAUGUGCCACCGGUGCAGGAAUCAGGGGUGAGUAGCUCUUUUUUUCGUAUGUUGAAAUCUGAAAUAGGUUUUUGUUUAGUGUUUGCAUGUGCUAUGCGUUUUGUGGGCUCAGUGUGUCCUGGAGGAGCUUGUGGAUAAGGGGAGUGUCCAGUUCCAGAAUCUCCAAGGCAAUGCAGUAUAAGCUCAUUUUAUGAGAUUCUCAUUAGGGCAUUUGCGAUCUAGUCCCAGUGCUGUCAUUAUCUCAUGACAUUGUCUAAGAAUGGAUGUCCAAGGGGAUUUAGGAGAUGGACUCCUACUGAAAAAUAGGAGUUUGUCUUAUACAACUGUUUGUUUCUCUCUCCUUUCCUGACAUUGGAUAUCCUCUAAAAGUUUGUAAUAGCUAUUUACAAGAUCUGAGAUUUGUGCAAAAGAUGGGGUCAUGUUUCGUAGGAAAAAUGUUGAAUGGACUGUAUAGUUUGCACUUCUGAUCUGAGAGAGGACCAGCAAUAACUCUUGGUCUUAAGGAAGGAGCAAAUGAGAACUCAAGCUGUUAGUAGUGAAAAUAGCAGGCAUUUGCCUGAUAGAAGCUGACUCUUCAUACUCUCUGUUUUCCUCUGUCAUGUUUUAAAGAGUGGACAGCAGGGUCAGGCAUUGAUAUUAACCGUGGAGAAUGGGGAUCAAACAACCGUUCCUGUGCAGGAGACCGGUGCCAAUUCUGAAGAACCCAAUUCCUGAAUAGCCAUUUUUGUCUGAACUGUUGUAGUCAAUGGAGAUGGCAAAGAAAAUUUUUCCCAAACAUUCAUAGGGAAAAAGACAGCUUACUGGCUUGAAAAUAAAAAGGAGGACCUACAAAGGAGCUAAGGAAACAGCCAGCUCUAAUGGUAUCUUCUGAUGCAUCAAAGCUGAGUGAUCAAGGACCCAGCACUGGUCGAUAUCGCCAGAGGUUUUAAAGCUCCUUCCUUUUACAGCCUCACUUUAUGGAAUAGUGGCCUGUGUGGUGCUUCAGGCAUUUCUUGAUUAAUAUACCUGGAGUUUCUUUCUUUCUUACCAGCUUGGACAGUAAUUACUUGGUAUGCAGCUCAGCCUGAGGUGAAGACUUGCGUAUGAAAAGAGGUGUGGAAGAGAUGCAGAGUGGCAUGGAGAAGACAGAUGAUGGAUGCAGUGGGAGGCCUGGAGGAAGUCCUGGGGCUGAUGGUGUGAGCAGUAGAGGAAGAGAUACUGAGCUGUAUUACGAAAGCAUCAGAGUGACAGGGUGAGAAGCUUGUGUUACACAGAGUGCAAAGGGAACUACUGGCAGAAUUACAGAGAGGCUGACAUGGGAAAUGUCUUUGUAGUUUCGUUUUGAAUGGCUCUAAAGAAGAGUAGAGGAUUAUAACAGAGAGAGGAGAACAGCUUGCACUAAUGGAAAGGGUUUGCCUGUGUUUUUGCUGCACUGAAAUAAUCUCUCUGAAUUCACGUUCACCCAUGCUGUGGAUCUAGAGGCCACUGCUCUUCAACCAACAAACUCGCACACCACUUUCCCAUAUGAUUAUGAGGAAUGGAAGAAAAUGGGAGAUGGUAGUCUAUUUAUUUAGGGAAAAUAUGUGAUAGACAGCUCCCUUUUUUUUUUCUUUGCUAGUUCUUUCAGCAGAAUUAGUUCUGUAUCUUUUCAUAAAACAAUGACAUUUCAGAAGUGCACUCAACAUUACAAUUUCUAAGAAUGCCUAUAGGUAGCUAUACAAAAGUAUAGCAAUAUUGUAAAUCAAGCUGCAAGCAAUAGACAGCUAAAGGUUUUAGAGAAACACUUUAAAAUUCCUUAAAAAUUUCUGCUCAAUAUGUGCAGAUCUGUCCAAUGAAGAAAUUCAAAUUCUAAGAAUGAAAAUGUUUUCCUGCUUUUUUUUUUAAAAAAAGACUUUUUAAGGCCCAGUAAAAGUCAUGUUUAUGCAAACCUUUGCCUUGCAGUAUUCAUGGAAGUGCGAACUGUCCACAAUUUCUUUUACUCCAAGCUAUUUUUACACAAAAAAGAAUGCCUAUGGUAUAUACAGUUCCAAUGUCAAAGCUCUGAAAGUGACUAACAUCAGAAGCAAUACAGGCUCAUUGAUUCUUGUGUGUAUGCUGCAAGCCAUAUAGGAAGAACUUGACUAGCCCUGACUACACGGCAUUUGAGAGUCAGUCAACUACUUUCAGUAGCUAAAUAUGUGACUAGUCAGUAAGGCAGUUCUAACAUACCAUUCUGAAUGUCAGUAGUAUCUGACAAAUGCAUUAUUAGUUUUGUAUAAUGUUUUGCCACUUUUGUGGCAGGUCUGAGAUGACUUACUGGAUAGGUCACAAUGAAUAGUAAGGAUAUUCAUUGGGCAAACAGAUUUUUUUUUUUUUUAACCUGACCUUAUAUCUCUAAAUUACUUCUUUGGUAGCUGGUUUAUGUUUCAUAGGGUUAAAUGUUUUCCACCGUUUGGCCCACUGUAGAAUGUGCUAACUGUUAACCACUAGUAGGUCCUCUAAUGCAUGUGUAUGAAGAGUUACUUCCACUGUUGAGUAAAAAAUUUUCUUUAGCAAACUGUCAUAUAAACUCAAAACCCCAAAUGGAAAGAGUUCAGAAAACAGCAUCAAGAAAGUUUCAGCCCUGUCUGUGGCUACAUGCCAACCAUGGGGUAAGUACUGGCUGUUUUUCAUCUUCUUAUAACUUAACCUCACUAUUAAAGACCUACUUUGGCAGUGGUAGCAUCCUGCUUUUGCACAUGUACUAGUGAUAUGUGUGGCUUUGAACAGACUUUAUAUCUUAGAGCUUUGCAACUCGCAGUACUACUUUCAGCUCAUAUGUAGCAGGUGUUACUCUGCACCUUGGUGGCUGACAUGUAGGUUGUUUUCUUCCUUAAAUGCAAAUUGUGAAGUUCAUUACCUGGCAGUAACAUUUCUGACAGGAUGCCUGAAUUUUUGGCUGGCAUAGAUCUUGCUCAGAAUAUGGUGGUAUUCAGGUCUGAAAUUUCAUUGCUGUUCAUCUUUGUGUAAUCCAGAUCUGUUAAUUCUCACCUUGGGUUAAUUAGAGUUUGUAAAUCACUUUGUAAACCUCAACUGAAAGGUGCUAGACAUAUGUAAACCUUUUGUAGGUGUUGCAGGUAUGCUGGCAGGCUGAUGGACUACGGGCUGUCUGGUUGCUUUACAGUUUGUGUGUGUGCGUGCGUGCGUUUGUUUGUAAGAUGAUCAUGUUAGCAUACACCAGAUCUUAAGUUAUUCAGCAUUCCUUCUUCACUGAGAUGAACUUUAAUUAAAAAGUUACAAAAGCAGAUGAAGAUCUUCAGAAGGGAGAGGAGCUAAAUAUUGCUGCUAUUCAGUGCUGUCAUUUGGAGAAGGGAUUUAUCAUAAUGUUUAGGCAGCAAUAGCUCCCAUAAUCUCCUUACAAGGAAAUAUCUAUCCUCCAGCCCAGUAAUUAUUAGGUGGUCAGAAGCUGGAGACAAAUAAUAAAAGGGAGGAUUUCCUGUGCUUCUUUCUCUCCCUUGCCCCCACCAGCAUACUUGCUAUUCUCUUACACAGGGUUCAAGUUCAAGUCCUGAAUCAGCUGGAGGUGCAAAACACAGUGUCUCAGCCAGGCCCUCUCCACUGCUUGAGGCACUUGCAGCAUAACUCUUCUGACCUGCUGUCUUUCAGUAACAGAUGGAUAAGGAGGUGCAUCCUGGCUUCUUGACUCAUGCAAGUCCUGGGAGUGCAGGUGAUGGCCUUAGCAACCCCUGUGGAAAUCCAGAGGGGAAAGGAAAAAGUUGGGGCCUGAUGUGCCACCAGGUGGCAGCGUGGGAGAAGGAAAUACUCCAUUUCCUCUCAUUCUGGAAAACCUGCUAUCAGUAUUUCUUCCUCCUAAGUGUGUAGCAAAGCUUCUCUAAGGCUUAAUGGUUGCCUAAGAAUCUAGAAUGGAAUGACAUCUGUAGCCAAACACCUCCAGGUGGAGAAAAGAUGGUCUUGUAAAGGACUUCCCAAGUGACUACGUUCCUUCGAAAACAACUGUGAAAAGUCAUGAUAAAUCUACAACAGCUGAAGAAAGCAGGAAACCUCAGUGCAAUGAAGAGGUCUACAUCAGAUGAGAAAAAACAACAGCAUGAAAUAUCUAAGCAAAAAUGAAGCCACAAGGAUGCUUUUUGUUCGGUUACUCUCUAUUUGCGGUAAACUUGCCUUCUUGCAUUAAUAGUCUUGUAUCAUAGCUGAACCACUGCAAAUAUGAAUAAGUAUUAUAUGUAACAAGAUACUGUGCCAGAUCCUAUCUAUGAAUUUUUGAUAUUGUUUAUAUUGGCAAUCAACAGUGUUAUUGAUUUUUGGGGGGUUUUAUUCAUAUGUUGUCUCUUGGAUUUUACAUUAAAAAGCUCCUCCUCAAAUUCCCUUUUCUUUUCAGAUCUGUUGCUAAAAGAUAUAGGCUACCUGAUAUUUCUGUCCAUAAAGAAUUCUAAUUGCUGUUUGUCCAUAGGUGCAGUUACUGGUGACUUAUUAGACAUGUUACACUACUGAGCGGUCUAGUACUUAAAAUGUCACUCUCUUCUUAAUAACAUCAGAAUAAAACCCAUUUUCACAAGGGCAGGCAAACUGCCUGAACCUGUUACAAAAAUCUGUGUUUGUCAGGCUAAUCUGGACCUGAUUAUUAGGGUGAAUCUCUAAGCAGAAACUGGCAAAAGGAACAGUAUGUUCACAGCAUAGCAUGACUCCCUUGAGGAAAACUCUGCAAUACCUUUUGCUUCAACCAGAAAUGAUGCCCACAGGGUUUGUAGCUCAGACUCAGUCCUUCGGGGUAGAUGUAAAUUAACAUCAUUUAAACUUCACAUAGACAACACACUGGGGAAAACUUAAUCCUAGGAUAACUUUUUUUUUCCUCAGAGAAAGCUGAGAGCAUAGGUGUCUAUUACUAUGAUAGCUAAGGGACAAAGAUUAAGGGCAUCUCAAAGCUAGGACACUUUUCCCUGAGAGCCCUGUUGUGCUGUGAACACCUGGCUUUUGAAGGCUUGUGAGGACAGAGGAAAGAAAGGCACUUUAGCCAACUUAGUUUACUGGAAGAGUCACAUGAAAAUAUCAGAUACACAAGGGAAGUGGUCUUUAAUUACCUGAAUAUGGAAUUUACUUAUAUUGUGUGCACACAAAUAAUACAGCAUGGAAAAUCUGGGUAAGUGAAGAUAGUGAAGUGAGGCAAAGCUAGUGAAGAUAGACAAAAUGCAGUUAAAUACACUUUAUUUUGCCUGCAACCAUACACAGAUAAUUAAAUAAUAAAAGCUGAUUUAUCAGAGCACUUCACUCUCUUGUAACCAGUCAUUUAAUGUUUAAAAAAAAAUUAAACUCCUUCAAGUAGGAAACAGUAGUCAAAUGAUCUUUCUGUGAGCAUCAGAUUCUUGUCAGAUGUGAUAAGAAAGGUAAACCUCACUUAAUGGUCAGAAUAAAAUUUAGACAGCAUUUCAUUCAAACAAGGGUUGCAGAUCAUAUUGAGUGUUGUAGAGAUACAGAACACUUUUGAAAUACAAAGUUCCUACCUCAAUAUAUGUAUGAUCCAAUCCAGGAGGAAAUGCAAACCUAGUCUGUAUGACAAUCAGUUUUACAACGCAUGGAACAGGCACAUUGGGUUAAUUAAAGAGCAAAGCCACUUUUGAAGUGAAUAAAAACCAAAAUGGAAUAUAAUUAGACUUCUCUUGAACAUCCAGGUUCAAACAUCUUAUAGCACAGAACUUAGUCUUCACAAUUCUCUCCAGAUCCUUGAUAUGUUGACAUCUUUCCUCUUUAAUGGUUGUACAUAGAGAAUAACAUAACUGGCAUGAAGCCUUAUAGGACAUCAGAAUCUUACCAAUCCACUGCUACAUCUGUGAUCUACUUACAUGGUUCUAGUUCUGGACUGAGUCAAAAGCUGGUGGUUAGUCACAGUUUGAAUUGAACCUGGAUUAUUAUCUAAAUUAGGUACUGUCCAUUUCUGCUUUACAGAGUCUGUGUUAUCUCCUAAACUAGCCUUUUCACUUGUAUCAGUUUCCUAAAACUUUAAAUAGAUGAUUUACUAUGAUAUUGCAUGAAACUGUUUCAUCUCUUGUUGUUUUGCUAGCAUCCUUAAGGAAUCUGACUUCAAAUGACUUUGGUGGUCAACAUUAGAGAGAACUGGAACUUAACCAAAACUGACAAGUAGUAAAAGUAGUGCAGCUAUUGUGAAUUUUGGGGGUUUCGUAUCCUAAGCUAAUCUAGCACUGAGUGAAAGUACCAGGAAUGCACAGUACCUUAUCCUACUAUCCAACAGGAAAUAAACAUCAUCUUAUGCAUCUCAGUAGAACCACAAGGAUUAACAUAUGAAGCCCUUGAAACUGUACGGAGGCAUGAGCAGGACACCUACGUUCCAGGUUUUUUACCUCCAGGUUUCUUUUAAGAGCUUUUAAAGUCACUUAGCGUGAGCUUAAUCCUAGUGCAGAAAAAUGUGAUUUUUUUUUUUUUUUCAAAAGAGGGCUCUUGGAGCUUGUUAGUGCACUCCCCUAGUCAUUUCUUUUUUGUUUCCAGUGCAGAUCAGUUCUUCUAAUGUCAUCAGGCACUUACAGCAAUUCCUGUCUGAAUCCUUUUUGCCCACUUAUCGGCCUUGAAUCUGAAUCUUUGUUCGAAUUAAUGUGGUCAAGUGCAAUUCUCCUCAGUUAACAGAUCUAGCUGCAAUUAACAAAAAAAAAAGUGUAAUUCAGGUAGCAUUCCCUUGAGGAGGUCCAUGUAUAUAGUCAUCUGAGGUGCACCACAGAAACAAAUUAUGUUUGAAGCAGUUUUUGUAUUACUAUUAACUGAGGUGAAGGCCAAAUUAUGUCUGUGCUUUGUGUAAUAUUUGUUUGCCAUAGAUAGCACUAUUGGUGGGUGCUGAACAGUCUGUUCAGAGUCUUUUGGGGAAAUAUUAAAUGAGCAUUCAAUAAACUUGCAAAUAAACCCUAUGUACUACUUAGUCUCUCUUCCAUAUAUCACUCAAACUUUGAAGGGCAUAGAAGAGAGGUUAAUCCCUGAGGUAGUGCCAAUUCUUUGAGAAAAUAAUCCUCUAAGAUUACUUCUAAGAUAGAAAUUAAAUGUAAAUGAACUAUAUGUUCUCACCUGCAGUAAGUGCUGUAAUUAAUUUACAGAUUGAUUUCACUUUAGCUGGUAAAACUAACAUUCGUGCAAAAAUUACAAGGACUUCAUUCAGUGAUCUAGCUAGUUCUUAUUGUCAAAUGGCCAGAAUACUUCAGUGGAUCCUCUCUUGUGGGCCAAGCUGUUACCGUUAAAUGGUCUUCAUUUCCUUCCAUGGUGUUUAGAUAAUCACACAUUUUGCUAGUGGUGCACUAACUAAAAACUUUAAGCACUUGAGUAAUGUGAUUUGGCACUUCAUAAGCUAAGCACUAGUAGUGAUCAUCUUGCUUUCCAGUGAUUUGUGUGCUAGAAAGAAAAGCAUUUGCAAGAAGAAUAUUUUUAAUCCACUAUUAAGGACUGGCAGUUUAACAUAAUAUCAUUAUAUUAGAGCACUUACUGAAGAAAGCCACCUAAAGUUUUCUAUAGUAAAACGCUUGCUGCACUGGUAACUGUGAUUUUUUUUUUAAAUUAAAAAUUAAUACUUGUUACAUUUUCAAGUAUAAAUAUUGAAAAAUAGCCUAUGGCAAAAUGAAAAGGCACAGGUUUAAAAAUAGUGUAGUUGUUUCCAUGGAUACGUUUGCUCUUUGGCAAAAGGUAUAUUAUACACUUCUACAAGAAUAAGCAUCAUCUUAAAUAUAUCUCUGACGGGAGGGACCCUGUAAUUUUAACCAUAACAACAGAAUUUGUACUUUUAAAAAUGUGAUCUUUCUACCUCACUUCAAGGUCAUGUUACAGUUGCUCUUUGGAGCAGAAGAACUCAAGUGCAGUAGGAGAGUGCAGCUUUGUGUUAAGUCAGCAGCCGACAGGUAUUUUAACAUACAGCUCACUUUGUAAAAUAUCAAGACAAAUAGCUCUCUCUUACAACAAAGCAGUAAUCAAAGUGAAAGUGGACAGUGUUACACAGACAGCACAAGAAUUUAAAUUACGUCUAGCCUGAAUUUGGGAAAAAGCACCAGAGACUGAACCAGACAACUGAAAAAUAGUUAGGUGAAACACCUCAAACAAGUUUGCUGAGUCUCAGAAGGUGUAACUGAAAGACACAUUAAAAUUAUUGUUUCUUGCUGAAAAAUAGAUGUAUAGGGUUUGUUUGUUUGUUUUUAAGAACUAGUCUUUGUAACCCUGAUGUGGUGACUUAGUAACAGUCAGAAUGUCAUUUGAAACAGUCAUAUUUAUUCUGGAGCAUACUGUGGCUUUCAGCACAGCCCAUCAGUCACUGAGAUACUUGCAUACUUCCCAGCAGAACUGUAAGAGCUUCAGUGCUGUAGUUUCUUUGAUUCUCACUACAGUAGCUGCACUGUUAGCCUUGGCUGUGACUGAACAGGAGACCAUCAGGCACAUCAUUGGCAUAUUUUAUCACCAGAAUAUCUGUCAUUCUUGCCAGUUUUCUAUUUGGCUACCACACUCUACAUUUCUCUGCAGGAUGCAUGGCUGUACCCUUUUUACAAUGGAACGCCUCUGAGAAGGCCUCAAAGUUCUGCAAAGAUCCCAUCACCCUAAACAAAAAGAAGGAACUUAUUUACAUGGAUGCAGUGCAUGGAGACCAUUGCUCUGGAAAACAACCUUUUGAUGAGUACUGCUGAUGGUGAAUCCCUUACCAAGUGGAGGUCAAGACUAUGAUUUUCUCCCUAACAUUAGGAUAAUCUAAUUUAUAUUUUCAUGCAUCCUGUGGUGGGUAUCCAUGUGUUCUCACCUGGGCAAAGUUGAGGAAGAAAAGCUGUUUGUGGGACAGAUUCAAUCCAGGUAACUUUGGUUCCAUCCCUUCCCGUUCAAGCCAUUUCAAAUAGGCCUAGAUAUGAUCAGAGAGUCAAUUCAGAAGAGCAGCAGGUUUGCUGGUUCAGACACGAUGGGUUUUUGAAUAUUAUUUUUGGGGUGAGAAAUUCCAGUCACAAGGUAUGUGAACCCAACAUGUUUUCCCUUCAGUAUUUUUAUAAUUUUUAUCUGUAUAAUGUAACUGGUAUGGCUAAUUUUUUGAAGAACCUGUCAUCAUAAGUAUUUUGUUGACUUUUCCAUUAAAAAAAUUAAAUACACAAGUAUAAUUUGCACUCAUGUUCUGAAGUACAGCACUCUGAACUAAAAACUGUUCAGAAAAUAGUAAAAAAAAACCCCAUAAUCUAAAAUGAAAGUGGAGGUUUAGAUUAGUGGUUGUUAUUGGCCAGUGGAUCCCCAUUGCAAGUAUCUACUUGUGUUCUUUAAGGAGUCACUUGGAAAUCUAUUCUGAAUUUCUGUAGAAAGGUGGCAUACACUGUUUUUCCAAAAUAUAAGACAGUAGCAGUCUGAUGGACCAUUGGUUUGCUAUUGUGUCUCAGCAAGCAAGCAUAACAAAGCAUGACAGCUGUUGACAAUUACUAUCUUCUUGAAGUAUCAGAUCAAUAAAAUAACAGAGUGAGUGCCUGUGAUCACAGUUUGAAGGAAAAUCAUUAGCUUGGAUAUGACUUUUUCUGUAAAAAUUUGUAUCUGGUAGUAAAGUGUUAAGUCUUCUCCACA